rnacentral:lncRNA from 1 species
UGUUGCUGGAGAUCCUGAACUUCAAAGUUCAGAAGAGAGCUCAGAAACAAGGGAAUACGAAGUGAAGGAAUGUACGAACGAAAGCUCUGUUGUGACAUCCUCCGAGGCAAAAGGGGGUGAAAAAUUUGAGAAGGAUCAAAGAGUGUUGAGCUCAAAAAAUGAGGCCAGAUCAGAUGCUGAGAGAGCAAAGGAGGGCAAAAAGUCAAAAUCAUCUGUUAAGGAUUCAUCAAAGAGGACAGUGCAGCAUAAUAACCGAACUAAAUACACCGUUCCACACCCUUUUUCCCUUGCAACCGAAAAGCGUGCUUCAUUUGGAGCUCGUCCUGCUGAUGAUACUACGAGGGUAUCCAAUGGUAAACCAGUGCAGCGUUCUCGUGCUGUGCAGCCAAAUCAGGUGACCCCAAGACAAGUGAGUCUGAAUUCAAACUCGUAACAUUGAGCAAUAUCAUAUACAUUCGCUUUAACACUUAGAUUAUAAAUGUAAUGUUCAUAGCAAGUUGCACAUGGAAAUAUAACGAAAAGAUUUGAGUACAGUCAUGAGAUCUGGACUUAAGAUUUUGGUUCUUCAUCCUUAUAUGAAAGACUAAUUCCAGAGAACUGCCCCAUUGCUCUGCAUAUAUCACUGCUGAUUUAGGAAUCAAGUCAACCAUUAGAACAAUUUUAGUGAAAUCUAUCAGGCAAUUCACUUUUGUACCUUGUCAAACAUACACUUUAUGUUCUGGGAUGAUGUCCAAGUUAAUUCUUUUUGGCUGCAGCA